CUAGACAUUAGGAUAAGAUCGAAUAGUAAGUUAUGACUAAGUAGUGACUAAGCACAUUAAUUACCAUCUUAUCUACUCUUGUUCUCUUUAAUGAAGUAUUUCUUUCCACCACUUCAUUAAUUACUCUUCACACUACACUAAGCAUAUUUAGCAAGUGAAAAAGAAAAGAAAUUAGAGAGAAAGAGAAAAGGAGAAGCCAAAGCUUUGGGAGAAAAAAAGAGUAAACAUUUGUGUUGAUUCCAUACACUUUCUCUACACUAAUUCAAGGAGCAUUUCAUCACUAUUUCAAGAAUCAAGAUUCCUAGUUUAAUUCUCCACUUUUCUCUCCUUUCUUUUCGGUUUUGAAGAGCCUUUAUGAGAGGUCAUCUUGUUCUCUUCUUGAUUUGGAUAAUCAUCCCUAAGAACCUCAAGGAGCAUGGUUGGAGGCUAGCAUUUCAAGGGCUAAAAGAAGUUGCAUCUCGAUUCCUCUAUUGCUCCUAAAUCUCGGCUAUAAGCCUUAUGUUUCCAUUAAUUGUGUAGUUGUCUUUAUUUGGGAAAUCUAGUAUUUCUAACGUACUCUAGAGUGAACAACAAGGAUAAAGUAAGGGUGAUAAUGUUUGUUUGAUCUCUAUUCCUAAUUUUUGAUGUGUGAAUGCCCUCUUUGAAAGCGAAUAAUGCAAGAGUUAUAUGUAUGAUAAUUUUAUGAUGAAAUGCAUUCUUGAAUUGUGAAUGAAUGCCAAUUGUGAACAUAAGGGCUAUGCCCAAAUGUAUAAAUUUGGCCGAACAUUGAAAUGCACUUGGGG
rnacentral:lncRNA from 1 species